rnacentral:rRNA from 1 species
UACGUAGGCAGCAAGCGUUGUUCGGAAUUACUGGGCGUAAAGAGUGUGUAGGCGGUGCUCUAAGUUCGGUGUGAAAUCUCCCGGCUUAACUGGGAGGGUGCGCCGGAAACUGGAGUGCUCGAGCGUGGGAGAGGAAAGCGGAAUUCCUGGUGCAGCGGUGAAAUGCGUAGAUAUCAGGAGGAACACCUGCGGUGUAGACGGCUUUCUGGACCAUUGCUGACGCUGAGACACGAAAGCGUGGGUAGCAAACAGG